UAAGCAUAUCAAUAAGCGGAGGAAAAGAAACCAACAGGGAUUGCCCUAGUAACGGCGAGUGAAGCGGCAACAGCUCAAAUUUGAAAUCUGGCGUCUUUGGCGUCCGAGUUGUAAUUUGCAGAGGGCGCUUUGGCAUUGGCAGCGGUCCAAGUUCCUUGGAACAGGACGUCACAGAGGGUGAGAAUCCCGUACGUGGUCGCUAGCCUUUACCGUGUAAAGCCCCUUCGACGAGUCGAGUUGUUUGGGAAUGCAGCUCUAAAUGGGAGGUAAAUUUCUUCUAAAGCUAAAUACUGGCCAGAGACCGAUAGCGCACAAGUAGAGUGAUCGAAAGAUGAAAAGCACUUUGGAAAGAGAGUUAAAAAGCACGUGAAAUUGUUGAAAGGGAAGCGCUUGCAGCCAGACUUGCCUGUAGUUGCUCAUCCGGGUUUUUACCCGGUGCACUCUUCUAUAGGCAGGCCAGCAUCAGUUUGGGCGGUUGGAUAAAGGUCUCUGUCAUGUACCUCUCUUCGGGGAGAACUUAUAGGGGAGACGACAUGCAACCAGCCUGGACUGAGGUCCGCGCAUCUGCUAGGAUGCUGGCGUAAUGGCUGUAAGCGGCCCGUCUUGAAACACGGACCAAGGAGUCUAACAUCUAUGCGAGUGUUUGGGUGUCAAGCCCGAGCGCGUAAUGAAAGUGAACGGAGGUGGGAACCUUUCGGGGUGCACCAUCGACCGAUCCUGAUGUCUUCGGAUGGAUUUGAGUAAGAGCAUAGCUGUUGGGACCCGAAAGAUGGUGAACUAUGCUUGAAUAGGGUGAAGCCAGAGGAAACUCUGGUGGAGGCUCGCAGCGGUUCUGACGUGCAAAUCGAUCGUCAAAUUUGGGCAUAGGGGCGAAAGACUAAUC
rnacentral:rRNA from 1 species